rnacentral:rRNA from 1 species
UACGUAGGUGACCAGCGUUGUCCGGAUUUACUGGGCGUAAAGAGCGCGCAGGCGGUCGUUCAAGUCGAGUGUGAAAGCCCCCGGCUCAACUGGGGAGGGUCACUCGAUACUGAUCGACUUGAAGGCAGGAGAGGGAAGCGGAAUUCCCGGUGUAGUGGUGAAAUGCGUAGAUAUCGGGAGGAACACCAGUGGCGAAGGCGGCUUCCUGGCCUGUU